rnacentral:rRNA from 1 species
AUAUCAGUCAUGCAUAGCAUAUCAAUAAGCGGAGGAAAAGAAACUAACAAGGAUUCCCCUAGUAACUGCGAGUGAAGCGGGGAAGAGCUCAAAUUUGAAAUCUUAAAAGGUUUUCCUUUUACGAAUUGUAGUUUAAAGAAGUGUUUUCUGUUGAAAUUUUAGUAAAAGUUCUUUGGAAUAGGACAUCAUAGAGGGUGAGAAUCCCGUAUUUGACUAGAAUUUUUCAACUUUGUGAUACACUUUCAAAGAGUCGGAUUGUUUGGGAAUGCAGUCCAAAAUGGGUGGUAAAUUUCAUCUAAAGCUAAAUAUUGGCGAGAGACCGAUAGCGAACAAGUACCGUGAGGGAAAGAUGAAAAGAACUUUGAAAAGAGAGUUAAAUAGUACGUGAAAUUGUCAAAAGGGAAGCGUUUGGCACCAGUGUUGUUUUUCUAAAAAUCAAUUUAAAAUUUGCUUAUGCUAAGUUUUUUAGACUUAAUCGGCUAAUAAUUUAGUUUUUUGUAAUUUUUGAAUGCACUUUAUAGUUAACAAGUCAACAUCAAUUUCUUUUGUUGUAAAAGAAUAAGAGGAAGGUGGCUUGGGAUUCCGUUUCAAGUGUUUAUAGCCUUUUAUUUCUGCAAUAGGAGGGAUUGAGGUCUGCAGCAUAGAUCCUUCGGGGCUAGAUGCAUUUUCGCUAAGAGUCAGUAUUAUAUAAACAACUUGUUGAUUAUGUAGUAUGUUGAUUUUUACUCGGGAGUGUUAUUUUACCUACGCUUAGGAUGUUGACGCAUGAGAUAUACGC